rnacentral:lncRNA from 1 species
AUUUGGGACAUAGUUGGAAAAGAAAAGAUGCCUCUGUCACUUCGAAGUCUUCGGAAUCACUGGAAUGCGUGCUCUGCUUUUUCUCCACUUCUUUGUCGGCUGUUCCAUUUGAUUCUCUCAGCGUGUCCCCUAGAGUGUCUGCCCCUUCGGUGCCAAAUGUUUGUGCUAAUUCCUCAUCCAGAGCUGACUGCAUUUGUUCAAGGUUAAUUCCUGAGAGCAAGGUUACAAAGAAAAAUCAGUAUGCAGGGUUUAAUAUAAUUAGAAUUUGAACUAUUUGGGACAUAUAGUUGGAAAAGAAAAUAUGCCUCUGUCACCUCAGAAUCUGUGGACCGUGUGCUCUUCUUUUUCUCCACUUCAUCUUUGUCGGCUAUUCCAUUUAAUUCUGCAAGCUUGUCCCCUACAGUUUCUGCCCCUUCGGUGUCAAAUGUUUGUGCUAAUUCAUUGUCUUGAGUUGGCUGCAUUUCUUCACUUGUUUCCUUGACGGUUAAUCCCUGAGAGCAACAUUACAAGGAAUAAUCCCUAUGUAGUAUUAUAAUAUAACGAGAAUUAGAACUAUUUG